UGUCUAUUCAGAAAUAUCAGCGCGUAUAAGAGAAUGUUUCGCCUCAAAAUACACAAAGAAUUGUUUGAAAACAAACGUUUCCAAUGUUAUCCGUUUUACUUUUUCACAUGCGAAAUCUUCUCAGGUUGAAUUGUGAUUUUUUUUAUAUUACUGUUUUGCAAAAUGAGUAGCAAAAUCCCCAAAACGGAUAGCGAUCUGUUAAUUUGAACCCUGAACAGCAGACAAUUUUACAUGUCAAGGGGAACAUGUGGGUCAUUGCUUUUGUGGGCCAUUUGUCUUGUUAACCCUUUCGGUGGCAUUGCAUCCUAAUGUCCCCUACUUUGUUAUUUUACUCUGUCCGAAGCCAGAUGAUUUUACUUGUCAAGUUAAGAGUACUCCCACUCAAUGGGUUAAUCAGAUGAUCUGCCUAUGUGUCUAGUUAACCUGUUAAGUUGCAUUGCACCCUAAUGACCCUACUUUAUUAUUUUACUCUGUCAAAUGCCAGACAGUUUUACUCAUCACUUGCGAGCGCUGAUGCUCAAUGGGUUAAUAAUAUUUUUAGAGCAAGGAGAGCCGCCAAAGAAGCGAAGGACGCUCCAGCACAACCACAACCGG
rnacentral:lncRNA from 1 species